GAUGAACGCUGGCGGCGUGCCUAAUACAUGCAAGUCGAGCGAACAGACGAGGAGCUUGCUCCUUUGACGUUAGCGGCGGACGGGUGAGUAACACGUGGGUAACCUACCUAUAAGACUGGGAUAACUUCGGGAAACCGGAGCUAAUACCGGAUAAUAUUUCGAACCGCAUGGUUCGAUAGUGAAAGAUGGCUUUGCUAUCACUUAUAGAUGGACCUGCGCCGUAUUAGCUAGUUGGUAAGGUAACGGCUUACCAAGGCAACGAUACGUAGCCGACCUGAGAGGGUGAUCGGCCACACUGGAACUGAGACACAGUCCAGACUCCUACGGGAGGCAGCAGUAGGGAAUCUUCCGCAAUGGGCGAAAGCCUGACGGAGCAACGCCGCGUGAGUGAUGAAGGUCUUCGGAUCGUAAAACUCUGUUAUUAGGGAAGAACAAACGUGUAAGUAACUGUGCACGUCUUGACGGUACCUAAUCAGAAAGCCACGGCUAACUACGUG
rnacentral:rRNA from 1 species